rnacentral:lncRNA from 1 species
GGUGAGCGGGUAAUAAACAACCCGCCAGCAUAGCAUUUGUUGUUGGGCGGAUUUUCUUGCAGCUAUGCUCCCCUGGAAGGUCUGGGUGACUGCUUCAGGUCCACCGCUGGGACCAAGGCCAGCCCCCCUCCAAGGAUUAAUCGCCAAUGAGGGGGACCCUGUGGGUGCCUCUCGGCACGAAUCAGGGUGACAAACCAGGUUUCCUUUCCCUCCCGCGUCCAGCACUGGAUACCCUGGAACUCACUCUGUAUGCUAGAGAGGCCUGAGACCCCAGAGAUCCACCUGUCUCUGGAGUGCUGGGAUUAAAGGAGUGUGCCACCACGCCCAGUAUGAAUAUGAUCCAGUUCCUCAGGAGUCAUCCGGAUAGAACCGGCCGACUGGAUAGGAAGCGUUUCUGUCACCUGUGGAGGGCAAGGUCAUGGUGUUUUGCCGCAGCACUAAAAACCCAAACUAAGACAACCCCUGUCUUUGUGCAACUGUUACACUGGACAGAUACUGUGACACCCCAACGUUUGUAACCAGGCAGUGUGAGUAGACCAUUCACUAUUUUUCAAGAUUGUUUCAUUCUUUAAGGUCCCUUGAGAUUCUAUUUGAACUUUAGGAAAGAUUUUAUUAUUUCUAUAAAGAAAAAAAAUAUGUGGAAUUUUGAUUGCAUUAAAUCUGUAGAUU